rnacentral:lncRNA from 1 species
GCCCCUGAGAUUUUACUUCCUCAGGGGCUCUGCUGAGGAAGAGUGUUUUUUGUGUUUGUUUUAUUUUUUGUCUUUUUAGACAAAACACCCAGAGCCUAUGGAGGUUCCCAGGCUAGGGCUCUCAUCGGGAGCCACAGCUGCCGGCCUGCACCACGGCCACAGCAGUGUGGGAUCCGAGCCUUGUCUGUGACCUGCACCACAGCUCAGGACCACGCCGGAUCCUUAACCCUCAUCCUCAUGGAUGCUCGACAGAUUUGUUUCCUCUGAGCCCCAAGCGGAGCUCCUGGGAGAGUUUUGAGAUGACUCCUGUUGAGCCUUUCAGCGCUGCGGCUCCGUGGCACAUGCUGCAAACCGCUUCUGGCAAAGUAGACUGCUCUGUUUCUGCGUAGGGCCUUCUUCCGGGGCCCAAUCUUGGUGUCCCCGGCUAUAACCUAGGCCUUUGCUGCCCAUUAGGGUGAGUCCUUGAGACGGGUCGGGGGUCGACCCCUGGAGGAAGUCAGGCUGCCAGGCUCACUGUGUCUCCUGUGACCUUGGGCUUGUGCUUCUUGGGUCCCACUUUCCCCGUUUCUAGAAUGAGGAGGAUGUGAGCACUUGGGAGCCGUUUCUGUAGGAGAGGCCAGCAGAUGCCUCUUCCGUGCCCUGCGCUCUGGGCAGGCUGUCGCGCGUGGUACCAGCCAGGUCUCCCGUGCCUUAAGCGUCCUUCUGAGUCAGAGAGCAGAGGGCGGUGUGGUUCGCUCGUCUGGGAUGCCAAGCACUGGCUGCGGCCGAGCGUUUCUCUCAGAGACGCGACCGUCUCCUCGUCCACCUGCACAGGGAGUUGGUACACGGACGGGCGCUGGGACAGCUUCGGUUACAGCAGCGGUGGCACCCGGUUGCGUCCUGGCGACCGGGCUCCGUGUGCAGCUCUCUCUGUGCGUGGCCUCUGCGGACCCUCAGAGCCGCUCUGUGAGGCGGUUGUUGGUGUUCAUUCCCGUUUUGCAGAGGCAGCUCUAAGGCUCAGCGAAGGAAGGCCCUGUUUGAGACGCAGAACGAACUCCGCACACACAUCCCAAACUUCACCUUCAACCUGGGCUACUCGGGGAAAUUCUUCCACACAGGCACGGAUGCCGAG